UGCCACCGAGGUUGAUAAAUUUGUUCACUCUUUUUUACAGUUUCCUCUACUGAGGUCACGUUGGCAGCUGUUUCCCUAUUUAGGAACUUAAAUGCAGUCCUCCGGUGGGUAUCCUGGGAAGCUAUUCUGUGCAGCACCACGCCGCCACCGGUGACUCCUCUUCCUCCCUCCACCUGCUCUGUGCUCUACAGACAACAGUUAGUCCCUGACUGCUUCCGGCCCCAGGUAGGCCUGCCUUUCAGUUCACCGGAGCUCUCCUGCCGGGAGUCAACGGACAAACACCUCAUUCCCUCCUCGCUGGGAACUGGAUGCAAAUAUGGGCAGGUGUGAACCCUAGAUGUGAAUUUGAGCCCGUUGGAAGGUACGUUUCUAAGGCGCAAGCCCAUUCUGAAGGAUCGCCCAGGACACGUCUUCCCUGGAGACCCCCACGGUAGCAGACACUUGCCUCCUGAAGGGUUGAAGACAGCGGAGCAAGGCACCGGGAUCAGAAUCCAAAUCCUGUCUGGGACAGUAUUCUCUUCUGGAGAGAUAUGGAAUCUCAUCUUUUUAGAAAAAGGAAAAAAAAAAUGGCUGUCCACUUUGUUGCUUCACUUAUCCCACCAACCAACACAGUUGGACAUCCUCUGAAGUUAUCGUUGAGCUCGCUGUCCGAUCCUUUCCUCACAUAGCUACAAGAGUCAUCCUUUCACAUUGGAGCUCCUAUCAGCACAUAUCUCUGGCCAAGUCUUCAAGGGCGCCACAUGCUUUGGGGCAAAGCUCAAAUUCCUCAGCGUCAUCUAAAGUGCCCUUCGUGAGAUGGCCCCUGCUUACUGUCUGGCCCCUGUUGGGAGAGGCAGCCCGCAUGGGGGCCGAGUGUCUCUGCACACCCUUACCAAGCAGGCCAGACUGCAAGAAUUGCCCUCUCCUGACACUGAGCAGUUUCUGCAGCCAGUCACAUAGGGACCCAAGGAGAUCCAGGUGAUGACAGCAUGGUCACUGUGUUUCUGCUUGCUCCCUUGGAGCGGGGGACUUGAGAGCUGCUUGCUUCAAAAGGGCUGUGCCUUUGGGUCUGGGUUCCUCAGCUUCAGAGCAAACCUACUGAAUGUGUAGCAUGCAUCCGGGUCCAUCACAUGACUUCUGUGUCAUCUGGGGGAAAAAGGAGACCAGUGCAAAUAUGCUGAAGAUAAAGCUGCUUGCUACCCCGUUAAUAAUAUAGUACUUUGUCUCUGA